GUUACAUGGAUAACCGUAGACAAAUUACAGCUAAUACAUGCAUCAAGACCUCUAUGAGGUUGUAAUUAUUAGUACUAAACCAAUUGCUUCGGCAAUGUGAUGAAUCAUAGUAAUCGAACGAAUCGCAGAAUUCUGCGAUAAAUCAUUCAAGUUUCUGCCCUAUCAGCUUUGGAUGGUAGUGUAUUGGACUACCAUGGCAAUCACGGGUAACGGAGAAUUAGGGUUCGAUUCCGGAGAGGGAGCCUGAGAAACGGCUACCACAUCUACGGAAGGCAGCAGGCGCGAAAAUUGCCCAAUCCUGAUUCAGGGAGGCAGUGACAAGAAAUAACAACUUUCAACUUUGUUGAAAAGUGUAAUGAGGAUAAUUUACAAACCUUACCGAAAGCAAUUGGAGGGCAAGUCUGGUGCCAGCAGCCGCGGUAAUUCCAGCUCCAAAAGCGUAUAUUAAAGUUGUUGCAGUUAAAAAGCUCGUAGUUGAAGUUCUGGC
rnacentral:rRNA from 1 species